rnacentral:rRNA from 1 species
GACGUAGGGCGCGAGCGUUGUCCGGAUUUAUUGGGCGUAAAGAGCUCGUAGGCGGCUCGUUGCGUCGGCUGUGAAAACCCGCAGCUCAACUGUGGGCUUGCAGCUGAUACGGGCGGGCUGGGAUUCGGUAGGGGAGACUGGAAUUCCUGGUGUAGCGGUGAAAUGCGCAGAUAUCAGGAGGAACACCGGUGGCGAAGGCGGGUCUCUGGGCCACUACUGACGCUGAGAAGCGAAAGCAUGGGGAGCGAACAGG